rnacentral:rRNA from 1 species
CCAGCAAUGGUGCGCCGAAUUGUGGUCUGAAGAAGUAUUGUCGGCCGCGAAUCUGGGUUAAGUGCAUUGGAAAAUGUCGCAUGUUAUGGUUAAAGCCCAGUUCAUGCCUAGAUUUGUUGUGCUUUGGCACAUGCUUUCUACGAGUCGAGUUGCUUGGGAUUGCAGCUCAAAUUUGGUGGUAAAUUCCAUCUAAAGCUAAAUAUUGGUGUGACACCGAUAGUGUACAAGUACCGUGAGGGAAAGAUGCAAAGAACUUUGAAAAGAGAGUUAAAGAGUACCUGAAAUUGUUAAAAGGGAAGCGAAGGAAUCCAGUGUAAAGCGAAGCCAUUCUUCUCAAGCCACUUGUGGUUUGGGCGCUGUGGUUAGCUGUACUAAUUCUGGGCUUGACCUGGGGCAAACGUUCUUUGAGUAGACGACUCUUCGGAGUGAGUGCUCAUUUUUCAUAUCCUGGGUCGGGCUGAGGUCAGUCACUCUGUGCUCGUGAUGAAUUAGGAAAUGGAUUUCUUUACCCCGUCUUGAAACACGGACCAAGGAGUCUAACAUAUGUGCAAGUACGUCAGUGGCAAACUGAUAUGCGUAAUGAAAGUAACAGUGGUAGGAACCUUCGGGUGCACUAUCCGCCGGCCAAUAUCCUUC